rnacentral:rRNA from 1 species
AUUGAACGCUGGCGGCAGGCCUAACACAUGCAAGUCGAGCGGAUGAAGGGAGCUUGCUCCUGGAUUCAGCGGCGGACGGGUGAGUAAUGCCUAGGAAUCUUCCUGGUAGUGGGGGAUAACGUCCGGAAACGGGCGCUAAUACCGCAUACGUCCUGAGGGAGAAAGUGGGGGAUCUUCGGACCUCACGCUAUCAGAUGAGCCUAGGUCGGAUUAGCUAGUUGGUGGGGUAAAGGCCUACCAAGGCGACGAUCCGUAACUGGUCUGAGAGGAUGAUCAGUCACACUGGAACUGAGACACGGUACAGACUCCUACGGGAGGCAGCAGUGGGGAAUAUUGGACAAUGGGCGAAAGCCUGAUCCAGCCAUGCCGCGUGUGUGAAGAAGGUCUUCGGAUUGUAAAGCACUUUAAGUUGGGAGGAAGGGCAGUAAGUUAAUACCUUGCUGUUUUGACGGUACCAACAGAAUAAGCACCGGCUAACUUCGUG